AGGGGGUCUUCUCUCUUGGCUUUGGAGCUCCCCAUUCCUCUGUGUCUGUAACAGGGGAGCUUCUUCCUUCUUUCUUCUCCCUUCUUUCUUGCCUGUUAAACUCUCUGCUUCUUAAAACCACUCCAUGUAUGUCCAGGUCAUUUUAUCUAAUUUGGAGACGGAGAACCCUGGUGUUCCUCUGCUCAUCAGAGCCGUCUCACCUGCAAGGGCCAGGAUCCAGCACUAGGGCUGCCCUUUAUGUUCAUGCAGCCUCCACUAGGAAGAUCCUCCUUAGCUGCCACCUGCUGUAAAGGGAUCUAUCUAUCUAUCUGUCUAUCUAUCUAUCUAUCUAUCUUUCUAUCUACCUGUCGAGAGAGAGAGAGGUUUAUUAUAAGGAAUUGACUCAUGUGAUUAUGGAGGCUGAGAAGUUCCACAGUCUGCUGUCUGCAAGCUGGAGACCCAGGAAGGCUGCUGGUGCCGUUCCAGUUUGAUUCUGAAGGCCUGAGAACCAGAACUGAUGGUAUGAGUUCUAGUCCAAGUCCACAGAAAUGAAACUGGAGAACCAAAGGUGUAAGUCGCAGUCUGAGGGCAGGAGAACACAAUAACCCAGCUCAAGCAAUUAGGCAGAGAGAAAGAAUUUUCUCUCCCUCCACUUUUUGUUGUUGUUGUUCUACUGAGGCCUUCAAUGGAUUGAAGGAGUUCCACUCAUUAAGUCAAUUAACUUCUGAAGUCUAUUAUUGUCAUUGCCUCCCCAGGUAGGGGAAAUGAGAAGCCUGGGGAUAUGGCUUACAGUGAAGUGUGGCUGGUCCUUUUUUAUUCUCUUGGCCAGGCUCCUUCCCUCUGCCAAGUUGCAGGUGGUCCAGGUGUUUGCUUCCAGAUGUUUAGCAAACAUCUGGUGGAAGGCAAAGAAGGAAAGAUUGCUUAGGGGGACUCUUGCUCCCGUUCCUACCUGCAUCUUCUGAGAGGUCUUCCCCCUUUACAUUCACCUCAGCUCAACAUUGGAAUCCCUGCUCUUUCACUGCACACACUGACCACCCACUGCAGGCUGGGGGUCCUAGAGGAUUUCACGUGCUAGGCUGUCCCAAAUAGAGGAGGUCCUGCUACAGCACCGGCACCAUUAGUCCUUUCUGGGCCGUGCUCUGUGAGCCCUUGAGAGGACAAGAAACCAAUGUCAAAGCCAUGGAAUGAUCCCAUUCAAUUCUCAUCAAGGAAUAGAGAAGACAUAAAAUUCAGCAAAUGGAGGAGCCCACUCAACAUGAAGAUGACAAGGAUGAAGACCUUUAUGAUGAUCCAUUCCCACUUACUGAAUAAACUUCACCAGGACCCAGGAAAUAAGAUUUGAUUGCUGCACACUUAGAAACAAUGGCAAUCAAGGGAAAUGCCCCAUCUUACAUGGAGCUCUUCUAGUGGAAACACCAUGGUUGCCACCACGUACUGCUCCGUACCUAAGUUUCUAGGAACCAGACUCUGGAAACUCUUCUAGAACUGCCCCAGGAGAACCAACGUGUCUGUUGCUUGCAAAGACCUCCAGUGUCCCUGAGCCUGGCCACUGCCUCCCAUUGCUCAAACCCUCCUAGUCUCGUAUGUGGACAUCUGCUUGGAAGAAUCUCAUCCACGUACAAAAUCCUGGCUCUGGAUGAAGCUUCUUGGUGAUGUAACAGUCUGUGGAAACUCCCACAGGACAAAUGCAGAAAGGAAGGACCUAGAUCACUGGAUGGUCAACGUUGCCCCUUGCACAGCAGCAAAGGCCUAUACAAAUUUUUUGAGUAGCUUUAUCUAGUGGUUCAGCUACUGGGAAUAACUUGUAAAAUCCCCUGGAUAGUCAACAGCAUUGGGGCUUGCUUUGUAAACAGAGACCUGACCUACUUAAUUCUUCCCAGAGGUUGGAAAAAGAGGCUGGACUCACACAGACAUGAAACCUUGGCUUAAUUGGACACUAAUUACUCAUAAGAGAUCUGUUUACCCGAACUUCCCCUAGACCAAGCUCAGUAUAAAAUGAGAGGAUGCAUAAAGAAGCAAGAUAUUUAGAGGAAAAUGUCACAAAUACAUUUAUCAGUCCCAAAAGUCCUUUUUUUUCCCCAGAAGUGAUGUUGCUAAUUGCACAAAAAUAAACAAUACAGGGGUUGAUAAAUUCCACAUUUAAGGGCUGAGGAUAGUGUCCCUACAUUUCUAAGAAGCUGUAUAUUUGGAAAUGAAUACAAUUGAAAGUAAGGAUAAGUGGCAUUCUAAAGCCAAUUGGAUAACUUGAAUGAACAAGCAGAAUUUACCAUAUUUUGAUAUGUUUCUUUUUGAUUAAAGUAUCUGUAAAGGAAACAAA
rnacentral:lncRNA from 1 species